CCUGACCACCCAUCUCUUCUCUCCACUGCACAGACCCCCACUCUCUUAUCCUCUCCACCGCUCAGCACCCAUCUCUUCUAUCUUCUCCCCAUCUCUCCUCUCUCCCACGCCAUGGAGGUCAGGCUGGUGGAUCGAGCCCAUGUGCCGGAAGCUCACUGCCAAGGUGGUCUGGGUCAUGAGCAGCUUCAUCGUCUGCAUCGCCAUGGCCAUGGUCACCAUCCUCAGCUCCUGUCGCUCGAGGUGGCGUGGUGCUCACCCUGCCCGACGGCAAGCUUGCGGGAUGCAGGAUGCACUUGGCGUAUGCUCGGUCCCUGUUCGUGGAUGGAUCGGCGGCGGCUCCCUCUUGCGGAUCCAGGCAUGAAGCGGCUAGAUCCGGCGAGGAGGCAUCACGCUUAGUCGCUUGGACGCCAAGGAGGUGGCGGCAAGCAGCCGUACGGCGGGGAGCCACUGGCCGCACUGGACGGAUGGGCCGCACGGCCAGAGCAAGCCAUGGCCGUUCCCGUGCCUGCACCCGCCGAGCACCAUGCAGUUCCCCUUCGAGGUAAGCUAUAUGCGAGCCUUUCUUGCUGAUCUGCUGCUCCACAUUUCGAUUCAGAAGCUCACGCACUCUCUGGCAUGCGCGUGGGAGCCGACCGCCGCCGCCGCAGGAGCCGGCCGCGGGAGCUGGCAUGGGGCGCUCGGGCCGCCACCGCCGCCGUGGGGCGCGCGGGCCGCCACAGCUGCAGGAGCCGGCUGCCGUCGGGGGAGUGAGCGAGCUGACGCCGCCGCCGGAGCAGGACGGGAGCCGGCCGCGUGGGUGAUUUUUUCUUUUUUUUUCUUAUUUUUCAGAAACAGAUAUGUAUAUGGGAUUGUAUUGAUUGGAUGUAUCUUGUGAACUAUUCUUUGGAUGAUUUGUGAGACAUAUGAUUAUUUUGUAUCGAUGGAUUUAAUAUCUGAACAUUCUUUGGAGCA